AAUAAAUUCACUCUUUAUUUGUUAAUAUUGUUUUUUUUUUAUUUUUGAUAUUGGUCUUCCAUUAUAGGAAAUUGAAUUAGAGAACCAUAGUGAGAGCAUUGCAACAUCGCAAGAAGAUAAUACUGGCCGACUAGAAGCCGGAGAAAUGGAAGUUGAUGACAUUUUGGACCAAUCAUCAUCAAUACAACAAACUGAUGACAAAGCUUAGUGAUGCAAGGAACUGGAUUAAAAAGAUCCAACAAGAAUGGAAUAUUCUUGGGACGAAUCUACCUGAUGCUAUUUUUGUUCAAGUAUCUGAGGAGCGGUAAUAGUUGGAGCAAGUGGAAUGUCAUAUCAUGAUGGCAUUU